rnacentral:sRNA from 1 species
UGAUGAUGUGGUUGUGCAUGUCCGCCCCGUAGCGGAAAGCCUCUAAGCAUCGCGCAGGCACCCACUUGAACCCCUGGUUCAAGGUCGAAAGCCGGCCACGGCAUAUGCGGAGUGUGCCCUCUUAAUUCAGUGGCAAGUGGUCAGUGGCGAGUGGCAAGGAAAACCUUGCCAGUUCGCACUGGCCACU